rnacentral:rRNA from 1 species
GCCAUGCAUGUGUAAGUAUAAAUAUUUAACUUUGAAACUGCGAAUGGCUCAUUAUAUCAGUUAUAGUUUAUUUGAUGAAAAGUACUACUUGGAUAACCGUAGUAAUUCUAGAGCUAAUACAUGAUAAAAUCCUCGACUUUGAAGAGGUGUAUUUAUUAGAAUGAAACCAAUAGACUUCGGUCUGUUUGUGAGUAAUAAUAACUAAUCGUAUCGCAUGCUUAGGUAGCGAUAUGUCUUUCAAGUUUCUGCCCUAUCAGCUUUGGAUGGUAGUGUAUUGGACUACCAUGGCAGUAACGGGUAACGAAGAAUUUGGGUUCGAUUUCGGAGAGGGAGCCUGAGAGAUGGCUACCACAUCCAAGGAAGGCAGCAGGCGCGUAAAUUACCCAAUCCUGACAUAGGGAGGUAGUGACAAUAAAUCACAAUGCGGAACUAUUAGUUUUGCAAUUGGAUUGAGAACAAUGUACAAAUGUUAUCGAUAAACAAUUGGAGGGCAAGUCUGGUGCCAGCAGCCGCGGUAAU